rnacentral:rRNA from 1 species
UACGUAGGGGGCUAGCGUUGUCCGGAAUCAUUGGGCGUAAAGCGCGUGUAGGCGGUUCGGUAAGUCCGCUGUGAAAGUCGGGGGCUCAACCCUCGGAUGCCGGUGGAUACUGUCGGACUAGAGUACGGAAGAGGCGAGUGGAAUUCCUGGUGUAGCGGUGAAAUGCGCAGAUAUCAGGAGGAACACCAAUGGCGAAGGCAGCUCGCUGGGACGGUACUGACGCUGAGACGCGAAAGCGUGGGGAGCAAACAGG